AAUUUUGACAAGUAAUUUUAUUUCCAUGGUGGGUUUUGACUUUCUCUUAAAAUGAAUUUUGCAUUGAUAAUUUGAAAGAAGUUUAACUAUAUAUCAGAACAUUUAUGGUUAAAUUAAAUACAAUAGAGUGCCAUUUACAAAUACUUUUUUUAUUAGAUGAUGUUGUGUGUGGUAGACACUCAUAGCUGUUGUUAUGAUGUAGAUUUAAGAAUGAAUUAUAGAUAAGAUGCCUUUUUGCACCUUCUUGAUAUGGGAUUUUUAUCUAUAGAUAUUAUGUUGUAGAUUUUAAGAAUGAACUAUUGCUAUUGUAAUAUUAUUCCCUCGAUGCCUUUUUUGUAACUUGUUGAUAUGGCAUUUUUGUUUGAUUGAAAUUGUAGGAAAUUAUUUAUGAUGGUAAUUGCUUUGAUUCAUCGUUUCCUUUUAAUUUAUUGGUUUGUUUACCAGUUGAUGACUAUCAGAGCACUUUCUGUUUAUCCCAGAGAAUUGAUUUUUGUUGUUUUGCAAUGGG
rnacentral:misc_RNA from 1 species